rnacentral:misc_RNA from 1 species
CCCAAAACGUCAAAUCAUAUUUCCAUCUUCUUUUUUCAAGUUUAGAAACAACUCGCGAGUCAAGUCAAAAUUUUCGCAGUCUGUUAAUCCGCCGGCGGAUUCCGCCGUUUCUCCCACCCCUAAAUGGCGUCGUCCCAGGUCGAGCCGUGCCUGACGUGCUUCCGCAAGACGGACAAUUAUCUGCGCAUCGCGGACGAAACCAACGCCGACGACGUCGAACGGAUCGUGACCACCCACUUUUGGUUUUCGGAUGCCGAAUGUGCGAGCAGUGUGCUGUGCACCAGCUGCUGGGAGAAGAUUGACGAUUUUCACAAGUUUUACUGCGAGGUGAAGCGGUCCCACUCGGAGCUGGCGGUGGAGGUAGAGAUUAAGGUUGAGCCGUUGGAUGUUCCGGUGAAGGUGAAGCGCGAGAAGGUUGCGGACGGGUCGAGCGAUGAGGACGAUGAGAGCGAGGACGAUGAUGAGGAUUACGAUGGGGACCGGGACGUGAAGGAACCGUUUGAUGAUAUUAAGGAUGAGCCGGAAGUGGACUCUGAUUUGAAGGAGGAUGAAGAGGAGGAGGAGAGAGAAGUUGAGGAACCGGUAAAAAAGAAGCGUGGCCGAAAGAGGAAGUUACCUUUGCCUAAGCCGGAGCCGGUGCAUGAUGAUGAGCAAGAGCAAAAUGAAUCGGAUGAGGACUCUGACUGGGAUCCGGCGAGGAAUGAUGACUCUUCCGAUGAGGCACCGAAAAGAACGAGAGCACUGAAAGUGGUCAAGAAACCGAGGAAGAAGUAUGCUCCUAGGAAACCUAAAGAUCCUUCUGAGGUAAAGGUUCCCAAGGAGCGGAAAAAGAGAGAUAUUGCCAAGGAAGACGAGUUCAUCCGAAGAUAUUGUCCAAUCUUUUGUGACAAGUGCAAUUUCAGCUGUGAUACUUUUGCCGAGCUGAAAGACCACACGACCAUGCUGCACAAUUGCAAUCCGCUGGUCGUCUGCUGUGAGCACAAGUUCUACAAGCGGUCCUUCCUCUACCAGCACGCGCAAUAUCACGAAAAUCCCGACAAGUUCAAGUGUCAAACAUGUUCCAAGAUAUUCCACAGCGGGUUAGCGCUUAAACUUCACCUCGAUUACACGCACGUCCCGGAGGAGGACCGGAUCCACAAGUGCGACGAAUGUGGGGCCACCUUUGCCAAGGCCUAUCACCUGACAUCGCACAGACUGAAACACGUCUCGAUUGCUCAAAAGCGCUUCUACUGCGAACAGUGCGACAUUGCUUUCCGAACGAACCAAUCGUAUAAAACGCAUCAGCACUCGAAACACGGAGCAGCGGCCAAGUACGUGUGCGAUAUUUGCGCCCGUGGAUUCCGCCAACGGUCCGACCUCGUCACGCACCAGCUCUCGCACAGCGCCGAAGGCCUCGAGCAGCUUAAAAUCCAGUGCGAGCAUUGUCUCAAGUGGAUGAAAAACAAAAAGUCCAUCUGGACUCACCGACGUAUUUGCCAGAGCUCGGGACCGGUCGCUUGCGAUAUUUGUGGCAAAAUGGCCCCCAACCCGGAGCAGCUGAAAAGUCACAAAAAGUUUAUGCACCAGGAUCAGCGCGUGCACCAGUGCCAGUAUUGCGAGAAGGCGUUCAAGCGGCCAAUCGACCUCAAGGAACACGAAACCAUCCACACCGGCGAGGUUCUGUACACGUGCAACUUCUGUCCCAAAACGUUCAACUCCAACUCGAACCUGUACUCGCACCGGCGGAAGAUGCACCCGAUCGAGUACGCCGAGUGGAAGCUGGCCCUGCAGCUCAAGAAGCAACCGGCGGCGGAGACAGCGGCGAUUGCGUCAGCGGCCGCAGCUGUUGCCAACUCAAUGGGCGUCGGCGGCGGCGCCGAGUUGCCACCGUUCAAUCCGGCCCUGAUACCGACGAUGGCCGCCGCAUCGCAGCUUCACCCUGCGCCGCCAGCGUCGCUGCUUCCAGCGCCACCGCCACCGGAACAGCAAGGAGCAGGUGGGUUUAUGUAGGCGGACAUCUCAUCAAAAACGACGAUCUGGAGUAGCAACCGCGCUAACCAUUCCAUCGAAAAUUUUGCAUCGCUCGCGGAAAUAUUCCCAGAUUGCCGUCGUCCCAUCCACAACCCGUGAUGUCCACGUCGG